UUGUGGGUAAGUCCAAGCCAGAAAGUACACCGGAAUGGUGUACGCUAUUAUAGCUGGCUUGGGUCCACAU
rnacentral:ncRNA from 1 species